rnacentral:rRNA from 1 species
GACGAACGCUGGCGGCGUGCCUAAUACAUGCAAGUAGAACGCUGAAGCGAGGAGCUUGCUCUUCUUGGAUGAGUUGCGCACGGGUGAGUAACGCGUAGGUAACCUGCCUUGUAGCGGGGGAUAACUAUUGGAAACGAUAUCUAAUACCGCAUAACAAUGGAUGACACAUGUCAUUUAUUUGAAAGGGGCAAUUGCUCCACUACCAGAUGGACCUGCGUUGUAUUAGCUAGUAGGUGAGGUAAUGGCUCACCUAGGCGGCGUUACGUAGCCGACCUGAGAGGGUGGGCGGCCAGACUGGGAGGGAGACACGGCCCAGAGGCCUACAGGAGGGGGCAGUAGGGCAUCGGGGGGAAGGGGGGCAACCCUGAGCGAGCAGGGCCGCGGGAGUGAGGAAGGUUUUCGGAUCGGAGAGCUCUGUUGUAGGUCAAGAACGGGUGUUAGAGUGGAAAGAUCACACAGUGACGGUAGCGGGCCAGAAAGGGACGGCUAACUACGUG